GGCAGGGUAGCUCAGUUGGUUAGAGCGUCGGAAUCAUAACCCGGAGGUCGUGGGUUCGACCCCCACCCCUGCUACAA
rnacentral:tRNA from 1 species